GAUGAAGAACGCAGCGAAAUGCGAUAAGUAAUGUGAAUUGCAGAAUUCAGUGAAUCAUCGAAUCUUUGAACGCACAUUGCGCCCGCCAGUAUUCUGGCGGGCAUGCCUGUUCGAGCGUCAUUUCAACCAUCAAGCCCCCGGCUUGUGUUGGGGACCUGCGGCUGCCGCAGGCCCUGAAAACCAGUGGCGGGCUCGCUAGUCACUCCGAGCGUAGUAAUACAUCUCGCGCAGGGCGUGCUGCGGGUUCCGGCCGUUAAAAAGCCUUAUUUACCCAAGGUUGACCUCGGAUCAGGUAGGAAGACCCGCUGAACUUAAGCAUAUCAAUAAGCGGAGGA
rnacentral:misc_RNA from 1 species